AGGACUGAAAAUCCUUGUGUCGGGGGUUCGAUUCCCUCCCGCGCCA
rnacentral:tRNA from 1 species